UACAGAGGUCUCAAGCGUUGUUCGGAUUCAUUGGGCGUAAAGGGUGCGUAGGCGGCGCGGUAAGUCGGGUGUGAAAUCUCGGAGCUUAACUCCGAAACUGCAUUCGAUACUGCCGUGCUUGAGGACUGGAGAGGAGACUGGAAUUCACAGUGGAGCAGUGAAAUGCGUAGAUAUUGUGAGGAACACUAGUGGCGAAGGCGAAUCUCUGGACAGUUCCUGACGCUGAGGCACGAAGGCCAGGGGAGCAAACGGG
rnacentral:rRNA from 1 species